rnacentral:rRNA from 1 species
GGGUUGUGAGGUUAAGCGACUAAGCGUACACGGUGGAUGCCCUGGCAGUCAGAGGCGAUGAAGGACGUGCUAAUCUGCGAUAAGCGUCGGUAAGGUGAUAUGAACCGUUAUAACCGGCGAUUUCCGAAUGGGGAAACCCAGUGUGAUUCGUCACACUAUCAUUAACUGAAUCCAUAGGUUAAUGAGGCGAACCGGGGGAACUGAAACAUCUAAGUACCCCGAGGAAAAGAAAUCAACCGAGAUUCCCCCAGUAGCGGCGAGCGAACGGGGAGGAGCCCAGAGCCUGAAUCAGUGUGUGUGUUAGUGGAAGCGUCUGGAAAGGCGCGCGAUACAGGGUGACAGCCCCGUACACAAAAAUGCACAUAAUGUGAGCUCGAUGAGUAGGGCGGGACACGUGGUAUCCUGUCUGAAUAUGGGGGGACCAUCCUCCAAGGCUAAAUACUCCUGACUGACCGAUAGUGAACCAGUACCGUGAGGGAAAGGCGAAAAGAACCCCGGCGAGGGGAGUGAAAAAGAACCUGAAACCGUGUACGUACAAGCAGUGGGAGCCUCUUUUAUGGGGUGACUGCGUACCUUUUGUAUAAUGGGUCAGCGACUUAUAUUCUGUAGCAAGGUUAACCGAAUAGGGGAGCCGAAGGGAAACCGAGUCUUAACUGGGCGUUAAGUUGCAGGGUAUAGACCCGAAACCCGGUGAUCUAGCCAUGGGCAGGUUGAAGGUUGGGUAACACUAACUGGAGGACCGAACCGACUAAUGUUGAAAAAUUAGCGGAUGACUUGUGGCUGGGGGUGAAAGGCCAAUCAAACCGGGAGAUAGCUGGUUCUCCCCGAAAGCUAUUUAGGUAGCGCCUCGUGAAUUCAUCUCCGGGGGUAGAGCACUGUUUCGGCAAGGGGGUCAUCCCGACUUACCAACCCGAUGCAAACUGCGAAUACCGGAGAAUGUUAUCACGGGAGACACACGGCGGGUGCUAACGUCCGUCGUGAAGAGGGAAACAACCCAGACCGCCAGCUAAGGUCCCAAAGUCAUGGUUAAGUGGGAAACGAUGUGGGAAGGCCCAGACAGCCAGGAUGUUGGCUUAGAAGCAGCCAUCAUUUAAAGAAAGCGUAAUAGCUCACUGGUCGAGUCGGCCUGCGCGGAAGAUGUAACGGGGCUAAACCAUGCACCGAAGCUGCGGCAGCGACGCUUAUGCGUUGUUGGGUAGGGGAGCGUUCUGUAAGCCUGUGAAGGUGUACUGUGAGGUAUGCUGGAGGUAUCAGAAGUGCGAAUGCUGACAUAAGUAACGAUAAAGCGGGUGAAAAGCCCGCUCGCCGGAAGACCAAGGGUUCCUGUCCAACGUUAAUCGGGGCAGGGUGAGUCGACCCCUAAGGCGAGGCCGAAAGGCGUAGUCGAUGGGAAACAGGUUAAUAUUCCUGUACUUGGUGUUACUGCGAAGGGGGGACGGAGAAGGCUAUGUUGGCCGGGCGACGGUUGUCCCGGUUUAAGCGUGUAGGCUGGUUUUCCAGGCAAAUCCGGAAAAUCAAGGCUGAGGCGUGAUGACGAGGCACUACGGUGCUGAAGCAACAAAUGCCCUGCUUCCAGGAAAAGCCUCUAAGCAUCAGGUAACAUCAAAUCGUACCCCAAACCGACACAGGUGGUCAGGUAGAGAAUACCAAGGCGCUUGAGAGAACUCGGGUGAAGGAACUAGGCAAAAUGGUGCCGUAACUUCGGGAGAAGGCACGCUGAUAUGUAGGUGAAGUCCCUCGCGGAUGGAGCUGAAAUCAGUCGAAGAUACCAGCUGGCUGCAACUGUUUAUUAAAAACACAGCACUGUGCAAACACGAAAGUGGACGUAUACGGUGUGACGCCUGCCCGGUGCCGGAAGGUUAAUUGAUGGGGUCAGCGCAAGCGAAGCUCUUGAUCGAAGCCCCGGUAAACGGCGGCCGUAACUAUAACGGUCCUAAGGUAGCGAAAUUCCUUGUCGGGUAAGUUCCGACCUGCACGAAUGGCGUAAUGAUGGCCAGGCUGUCUCCACCCGAGACUCAGUGAAAUUGAACUCGCUGUGAAGAUGCAGUGUACCCGCGGCAAGACGGAAAGACCCCGUGAACCUUUACUAUAGCUUGACACUGAACAUUGAGCCUUGAUGUGUAGGAUAGGUGGGAGGCUUAGAAGUGUGGACGCCAGUCUGCAUGGAGCCGACCUUGAAAUACCACCCUUUAAUGUUUGAUGUUCUAACGUUGACCCGUAAUCCGGGUUGCGGACAGUGUCUGGUGGGUAGUUUGACUGGGGCGGUCUCCUCCUAAAGAGUAACGGAGGAGCACGAAGGUUGGCUAAUCCUGGUCGGACAUCAGGAGGUUAGUGCAAUGGCAUAAGCCAGCUUGACUGCGAGCGUGACGGCGCGAGCAGGUGCGAAAGCAGGUCAUAGUGAUCCGGUGGUUCUGAAUGGAAGGGCCAUCGCUCAACGGAUAAAAGGUACUCCGGGGAUAACAGGCUGAUACCGCCCAAGAGUUCAUAUCGACGGCGGUGUUUGGCACCUCGAUGUCGGCUCAUCACAUCCUGGGGCUGAAGUAGGUCCCAAGGGUAUGGCUGUUCGCCAUUUAAAGUGGUACGCGAGCUGGGUUUAGAACGUCGUGAGACAGUUCGGUCCCUAUCUGCCGUGGGCGCUGGAGAACUGAGGGGGGCUGCUCCUAGUACGAGAGGACCGGAGUGGACGCAUCACUGGUGUUCGGGUUGUCAUGCCAAUGGCACUGCCCGGUAGCUAAAUGCGGAAGAGAUAAGUGCUGAAAGCAUCUAAGCACGAAACUUGCCCCGAGAUGAGUUCUCCCUGACUCCUUGAGAGUCCUGAAGGAACGUUGAAGACGACGACGUUGAUAGGCCGGGUGUGUAAGCGCAGCGAUGCGUUGAGCUAACCGGUACUAAUGAACCGUGAGGCUUAACCUUACAACGCCGAAGCUGUU